GACGUAGGGCGCGAGCGUUGUUCGGAUUUACUGGGCGUAAAGGGCGCGUAGGCGGCGCGGUAAGUCACUUGUGAAAUCUCUGAGCUUAACUCAGAACGGCCAAGUGAUACUGCAGUGCUAGAGUGCAGAAGGGGCAAUCGGAAUUCUUGGUGUAGCGGUGAAAUGCGUAGAUAUCGAGAGGAAAACCUGCGGCGAAGGCGGGUUGCUGGGCUGACACUGACGCUGAUUGUGCGAAAGCUAGGGGAGCGAACGGG
rnacentral:rRNA from 1 species